rnacentral:tRNA from 1 species
UGAGAAGUGGCUCAGUAGAAUAGCACUUGCCUGACAUGUGUGGGGCUCUGGGUUCAAUCCCCAGCAUCACAA